rnacentral:tRNA from 1 species
GUUUUAAUAGUUUAAAAUAAAACAUUGGUCUUGUAAAUCAAAGAAAAGCUCUAUGCUUUUAAAACU